rnacentral:rRNA from 1 species
AAUAGAUACCCGGGUAGUCCACGCCGUAAACGAUGAGUGCUAAGUGUUAGAGGGUUUCCGCCCUUUAGUGCUGAAGUUAACGCAUUAAGCACUCCGCCUGGGGAGUACGGCCGCAAGGCUGAAACUCAAAGGAAUUGACGGGGGCCCGCACAAGCGGUGGAGCAUGUGGUUUAAUUCGAAGCAACGCGAAGAACCUUACCAGGUCUUGACAUCCUCUGACAACCCUAGAGAUAGGGCUUCUCCUUCGGGAGCAGAGUGACAGGUGGUGCAUGGUUGUCGUCAGCUCGUGUCGUGAGAUGUUGGGUUAAGUCCCGCAACGAGCGCAACCCUUGAUCUUAGUUGCCAUCAUUAAGUUGGGCACUCUAAGGUGACUGCCGGUGACAAACCGGAGGAAGGUGGGGAUGACGUCAAAUCAUCAUGCCCCUUAUGACCUGGGCUACACACGUGCUACAAUGGACGGUACAAAGAGCUGCAAGACCGCGAGGUGGAGCUAAUCUCAUAAAACCGUUCUCAGUUCGGA